GCGAUUGACUGGCAACCAGUCAAGGGUGUAACUCGCCUCGCGCCCGAUUUUGGCUGGGAUUGACUUCAAUCUUUUUGGAUUGUGUGGGGAAGCCGGAGUACCUGGAGAACCCACACAGACACCGGGGGAACAUGCAAACAUCACACCCAGGACCUUCUUGCUGUGAGGCGACACCACCACAACACCCCAACACCACAGUGCCAACUGGUCUUCAAUUGGUUCAAUCCAUUGGGACCCAAAUGAAGAUGGAAUGAGGAAUCCAGACGAAGGAGGCAGGAGUAAAGCAGGACCCCUUUGGGCUUACCAAACAGCCCAGGAAUGCGGUGGUAAAAAACGCGUUGCACGGGAUGUCCCGUGUGAGCGGGUUUAGAUGAUAAACACUCCUUUCUUUCCGACUUUAAUAACAACGAUACACUGCGGAGCCACACACAAGCAACCACUUGUUAUAGGAAAUACUGAUGAUCCAAUACACCCCUGCACACACACACAAGGACACACAAGGGUACACACUUUGUGUCCGGUGGAAAUAAACUGCGAUGGUAACGUUGACUGCUGUGAAAUGACUAAUAUUUCAUGACAUAAUGUCGUUUGGAAAAAGACAAUAACGGUAUUUAAACUAAAUAAGUGUAGACAGCACUUUCCUUAUUGAACUGGCCAAAUAUUCCUUUUUCUAUAAAUAUACAUACAAUCAUUGCACACUAAAGUUCCCUGCCCGUACCACUGCUACCUCCGCCACACAGCGCCAUCCCAUAUCCCCCACCCUAUCUUGCCACUCCACAUCUGGACAGUGGUUUCCGGUGCAUUCCGCAGGGUCUCGUACCUCUCAAUUGCUCUAUUCACAUCCCCUCACCGCCCUGCGUGAAAUGCACCUUACAUAUGUGUGAAAAAAAUUCCCAGCCCUCCAAAUGUUAUUCCAUGUUUUGACCUGUUUAAAAAAGAAAAAUUUGAAACUCUAAGCAGCUGGCCACCUAAUGCACAGCGGCACAGAACUGCUAUAAGGAUGUUAAUAUAGUCGGGUAUCCUUAACCAGGCCUACUCCCUAAUGCAUGCCAUCUGGACUGGAAAUAAAGUACUGCUAGUCACUCUUCAUAGAGUUUGAACCUAGAUCUGUUACAGCUAAUUUUAGGGGGAGCCUUGGGGUUUUUCAGACAUUUGAAAGAUUUUUUUUAUUUGAAACAUAAGACCCUCCAGCAACAGCGCCCUGUUUACAGAAGCUCUCAGAUCUGAACAUGUUGAAACUGAAGGUUCUGUAUUUGUUCUUGUGGUUUGUUUCAUUGCCACAAUAGCAGUCUUUUUUGAGUUGUCAUAAAUUGGCCAAUUGCUCAAACUCAGACAAGAAGAAAUAAUUCAGGGAAAUAAGAAGAAACCUGCUUUUUGCCUCAGAUUCAGGAAAGCCUUAA
ensembl:lncRNA